rnacentral:rRNA from 1 species
GGUCCGGCCGCCCUGCCCGGCCCUCACGGGUUCGGUGCGUUGGGUCUUUGGUCGGUCCAUCCUCGGGCCGAGCCGUGCUGGCAUUAGGUUGUCGGCGCGGGGAGGCUCGUCGUUUACUGUGAAAAAAUUAGAGUGUUCAAAGCAGGCUUAGGCCGUUGGAUACAUUAGCAUGGAAUAAUGAGAUAGGGCCCCGGUGUUUUAUUUUGUUGGUUUGCACGCCGAGGUA